AGAAAAUAUAAAUCGCAGUUUUGCCCGAAGAGUUAAUUUGCCUAAUUUUAAGAUAAACUUGGUAUUUUAUUUAACAAACUCAAUUCUUCACCAGUUAUUUAAGCGUCCAUGGCUUCAAAUGUUUAAUAAAUUACAACAAUACUCGACCCCUAAAUCUGAAAUUUUAUUUUACCUCCACUUGGAAUACUAUUUGGUUCAAAUGUGAUGCUAAUUGUUUAGAAUACAUUUCCUUCUAUGUAUUUCUUGCCUUACCUUUUGGAGUUUAUUUUAAUGCUGAGUUUUCCCUUUGAGCCUUUUCUUCAUUUACCGGUGAUUAAAUUGGCAAUAAAAACAAGAAAUUAUCAACUAAACUCGAAACUUUGGUUCGUUCUCAACAAAUUUCCUCAACACGAUAAAUAUCGACCAAAUAUAAAAGUGGUAUCAAGAUUUUUCAAGCAACAUGGUUUCAGUCGGUCAUAAGCUGUAGUUAUGAGGAGUACAUAGCAAAAUAUUAUAUUUGGGACAAUAUGUAAUCAUAAUUGUACAAGAAGCAAUCGAAGUUUGAACUUUGCUUUUAUCAAAAAACUGUUGACCAGAAAAAUUUUUAUUUGGCAAAUGGACGUCUCUGUGUCUCUGGCAGGACGUCAAGUUUCAACUCUUAACUCGACAGUCAAGCUUUUGCUCCUUGGCGGACAAAUAAACUCUUUCUGUACCAUAAAACGUUAAUGAACAAGUAACGUUAUUAACAAACCAGAAUUGAGACAAAACAGCAGACGAAAGAUAAGACAAGAGUUGAAACAAAAGACGAAAUAUGAGCACAUUAAUUUUUGGCUAUUAAAUAAUAACUCGAUGGACUAAUUGACAUUCAGUGAUGGAUAUUAUUGUAAAUAGUUUACACAUGUUUCUCAAUCAACUUGACGUUUAUAGCAUUGUUGGUGAAAUACUGUUGAUGAUCCAUCAAAUUUGUGACUGGUUUACACUUUCAUUUUCAGUUUUCAAGUUAUAGUCACAUUGGUCAUGGAUGACAAUUGAUUAAAGAGAUGACAAUUAAACAGUUUAGUAAAACAAAAAGGCAGCAAGGAUCAAAGUUGAAAUGUGGCCGAUGGAUUCCUCUCAACUGGUCGUAAAAAGGUUGUAAAAAGACACGCGAAUACAGUUUUGAAAUUAUGGGGAAAAUAUCUGAAGUGCUUUCUAUUGACCAUACAAAUGAUAUUCCGAUAAAUUUAGAGGCAACAGAAGCUAAUUACACCCAAUUAAGGUUUCAAUUAAAUAGCUACUCAAUUCUUCGGUCUUAAUAUUUUGGAAUCAACAAGUUUAAUGAAUAAGCUUGAAAUGACUUGAAAGCUUUUCCUACGCAUAAUAAGUAAAAAUAGCUCAUCUAAUCAUUUCGACUGGAUUUACUUGGAAUUGUUAAACAUAGCAAAAGCUUAAAGCCUAUAACCAUAAUUAGCUUUGUUGUGCUCAUUCUCAUUAUACUCGUAGUUAAAUGUAAAUUGUAAAUGAGUUAAAUAAACUUAUUUGGUAGCGA